GGCCAAUCUCUCCUUCUACAAACUGGAUGACCUGCUGAUUGUAGAGACCUCCAGCGUGCGUGUGAUCUACAGCUUGACGGGGGAGGUGACUGUCACAGUGGGGGCCUGGUUGGCCAAUGAAUUGUGCGGCGCUUGUGGCCACCUCGGUGGCAGCGGUCUGGACCUGACCACUGUCAAUGGUGACCCAUGGAGGGCCAGAGAUUUCCCAAACUGUGACCUCGUAGAACCCUGAAACAGCUUUCCCUGGAGCUUCUGUAUUUGUAUGCUCUCAUAUGGGAUCAAUAAAGUAUCAUCUUGA